AAAGAAAAGCAGAAAAAGGAAAAGACAGAGACAGAGAUAAUGGAUGGGCACGACCAAAGCAAGUGGGUUUGGCAAAAGAUACAUUACAAAUCAAGGUGGACAGAGAAUGAGUGGGGAGAUUAAGCAAAACAGAAAAGCAGUGGGAACAAAGCAGAAAAGAGAAAGCAAAAGAUUUUCUUAUUAUUAUUAUUCCUUCUGUCUGCCAGGUGAAGAUACAAA
rnacentral:lncRNA from 1 species